AUGCACGCUGGCGGCGUGCCUCAUCCAUGCAAGUCGCGCGAACAGACGAGGAGCUUGCUCCCCUGACGUUAGCGGCGGACGGGUGAGUAACACGUGGAUAACCUACCUAUAAGACUGGGAUAACUUCGGGAAACCGGAGCUAAUACCGGAUAAUAUAUUGAACCGCAUGGUUCAAUAGUGAAAGACGGUUUUGCUGUCACUUAUAGAUGGAUCCGCGCCGCAUUAGCUAGUUGGUAAGGUAACGGCUUACCAAGGCAACGAUGCGUAGCCGACCUGAGAGGGUGAUCGGCCACACUGGAACUGAGACACGGUCCAGACUCCUACGGGAGGCAGCAGUAGGGAAUCUUCCGCAAUGGGCGAAAGCCUGACGGAGCAACGCCGCGUGAGUGAUGAAGGUCUUCGGAUCGUAAAACUCUGUUAUUAGGGAAGAACAAAUGUGUAAGUAACUAUGCACGUCUUGACGGUACCUAAUCAGAAAGCCACGGCUAACUACGUG
rnacentral:rRNA from 1 species